GUGUUCCACUUGGCAGCAUAGAUAUACAAUUGAAACUACACAGAGAUUACCAUGGCCAGUGCACAAGAAUGACAGUAAAAUUCAUUGUGUUCCAUAUUUUU
ensembl:snRNA U6 U6 spliceosomal RNA